UCAGGUGAUCUGCCCACCUCGGCCUCCCAAAAUGCUGAGAUUAUAGGUGUGAGCUACCAUGCCCCUCCCUCCUAUUCAUUGUGGAAUCUAUUUCAGCCAAGCUUUUGCCCCUAUCCCUCCACUGAAACUCCUCUUGGCAAAGUCACCAGUGACCUCACAAUUGCUGAAUCAGUGGUUACAUUUCCAUUAUAUCAGUUGAACUAUCAGCAUUAGAACACAGUUGCUUACAGCUGCCAUCUUGAAGCAUUCACUUUCUUCCCUUGGCCUUCAGGUGGCCCCUGUCUCUUGGUUUGUCUACCUCACUGGCAGCUCCAUUAGCUCAUCCUCCACUUCUGCAGCCACUAGCAUGCCCAAAGUUUGGUUCUUGGACUUCUCUGUCUUUUCAUUCCCUUAGCAGUUUUAUUUCAAGACAUGGUUUUUAGUAUUCAGGCUGGGGCCAUUCCUUCUCCUCCCAGCCUCCCAUGUCCUGCCACUUCUUAUGUCCUAACAGGUUCAUGACACUACAAGGAAAGUAGGAGCCCUUGUCCUUUUCCAGCCCACAGUGGGGUCCCAGCUGCAAAAAAAGUCUUAUGUUUCUUCCCUUUUCAAACCCCCAAGUUACUUAUGCUUUGGGGUAUCUUUAAGCCUCCUUUAGUUACCCAAAAGCAGAGGAAUUCAUCUUGCUUUUUUCUUUUCAGGUAUCCAGGCACCAAGGCCCUAAUCACAACAAAAGUUGGAUGGGGUCAUCUUUUGACUUUUUCUUGGAAAUUCAGAAAGUCUAGUUUUGCUUCAGGGAAGAUAGAAAUGUUCUUUCUUUCCUCUUUGAGUCUCCAGCACAAAAAUUUUACACCAGUAAAUUUCUACAUCAGUCUGCUUGUUACAGAUUGAAUGCAUGAACGAAUGACUGCAAGUGACAUGCACUUUGGUGCCCCAUGUACCAUUGAUUAGGUGAAUGACCUUGGGUAGCACCUUAGUUUUCUAGAACUUAAAUUUUUUGAGACUUCCUGAAAUUGGUGAUUUGUAUUACAUUUCUUAGUUUCCUCUCCUGGGUUUAAAAUAAUAUGCUUUAUCUACUGCAAAAGCUCCAGAGAGAAACUAAAAACUUGACUUGAAUCAACUGGCCAAACUCUGGAUAGCUGACAGUAAGCUGAAACUGGAAAAGGACUGGUUUGGAGCAAGGGGUCUGACUGAGGGGAGCAGUUCUAUGGAAGAGGAGGAGGAGGAACCCCACUAAGCACAUUCCUUGAUCAGAAGGGAAAGGAUACCCACUAUACCAGAUAAACAUUUUUCCUUUAUGCAUCUGAAUUUUUUUGCCUAUUAUUUUAUCAUUUAGAAUUUCUUUUCCAAUUUUAUUUCAGAAAAUGUCAUUGCUACACCUAUAUUUCUACAGGUCAUAUCUAGAAAUAUACCUAAGCCACAACAAAGCACCCACAGCCCCACACUGCCCUCACAUCCCGUGCCUAUAAAAACCCCAGCCUCAGUCGGCAGAGAGAGGAGAAGCAGCUGAACGUCAGGGACUACAGCUGAACACCAGAGAGAAGUGGGCAGAUUUCAGAAGGACAACUUGACGGCAUAACUCUGGAAAAGAAUCUGGCUAGAGACUGCCAGACUUCAGGGGAAGAUUACCUACCCACCUCGUCCCCUUUUCAGCUCCCCCUCUUGCUGACAGUCACUUUUAUUGGCAAUAAAAUCCAUACAUUUACCAUC